AUUGAACGCUGGCGGCAGGCUUAACACAUGCAAGUCGAGCGAGCGGCGGACGGGUGAGUAAUGUCUGGGAAACUGCCUGAUGGAGGGGGAUAACUACUGGAAACGGUAGCUAAUACCGCAUACCAUCAGAUGUGCCCAGAUGGGAUUGGCUAGUAGGUGGGGUAAGGGCUCACGGAGGCGACGAUCCCGAGCUGGUCUGAGAGGAUGACCAGCCACACUGGAAGUGUGACACGGUCCAGACUCCUACGGGAGGCAGCAGUGGGUAAUAUUGCAAAAUGGGCGAAAGCCUGAUGCAGCCAUGCCGCGUGUGUGAAGAAGGCCUUCGGGUUGUAAAGCACUUUCAGCGAGGAGGCGUUACUCGCAGAAGAAGCACCGGCUAACUCCGUGCCAGCCGCCGCGGUAAUUC
rnacentral:rRNA from 1 species